CCAAUAGCGUAUAUUAAAGUUGUUGCAGUUAAAAAGCUCGUAGUUGAACUUCAGGCCUGUCCAGAUGGUCCGCCUUAAUUGGUGUGUACUGUCCUUGGGUGGGUCCUACCUUCUGGCGAAGCGGCAUGGCCUUAGUUGGUUGUGUUGGGGAACCAGGACUUUUACUGUGAAAAAAUUAGAGUGUUCAAAGCAGGCAUAUAUGCUCGAAUACAUUAGCAUGGAAUAAUGGAAUAGGACGAUGGUUCUAUUUUGUUGGUUCUAGGACCGUUGUAAUGAUUAAUAGGGAUAGUUGGGGGCAUUAGUAUUCAAUUGUCAGAGGUGAAAUUCUUGGAUUUAUUGAAGACUAACUACUGCGAAAGCAUUCGCCAAGGAUGUUUUCAUUAAUCAAGAACGAAAGUUAGGGGAUCGAAGACGAUCAGAUACCGUCGUAGUCUUAACCAUAAACUAUGCCGACUAGGAAUCGGGCGAUGUUGACAAAAUGACUCGCUCGGCACCUCAUG
rnacentral:rRNA from 1 species